GAUGAACGCUGGCGGCGUGCUUAACACAUGCAAGUCGAACGAAGCACUUAAGAUUGCUUCUUCGGAUGACGUCUUUUGUGACUUAGUGGCGGACGGGUGAGUAACGCUUGGGUAACCUGCCUCACACAGGGGGAUAACAGUUAGCAAUGACUGCUAAUACCGCAUAACCCGAUAGGAUCGCAUGAUCCAGACGGAAAAGAUUUAUCGGUGUGAGAUGGACCCGCGUCUGAUUAGCUAGUUGGAGAGGUAACGGCCCACCAAGGCGACGAGCAGUAGCCGGCGUGAGAGGGUGAACGGCGACAUUGGGACUGGGACAAGACCCAAACUCCAACGGGAGGCAGCAGUGGUGAAAAUUGCGCAAUGGGGGAAACCCUGAUGCAGCGACGCCGCGUGAGUGAAGAAGUAUUUCGGUAUGUAAAGCUCUAUCAGCAGGGAGGAAAAGGACGGUACCGGACUAAGAGGCCCCGGCUAACUACGU
rnacentral:rRNA from 1 species